GUGAGCCAAGAUCACUCUGGGCAACACAGCAAGACUCUAGGUCAAACAGUAAAUAAAAACAUAAAAUAAAUUUCAUUUGAUGAAAGGUUUUAUGGAUAGAAAAACAUAUAACGGGGAAAUAUUAUUAUAUAUAUAAUCAUCAACAGAAACACGUCUUCUAAUAGCGUAUUGGCUUGCAUUUUAGUUCUCAUAUUUUUGCUAAAAGGCAAGAAAUGAAAACAAGAAAGUGCCCUUAUGGUACUGUUCUCAACUAGAAGAUUUUAAUUUCAGGGCCUCUAGGAGAGUUUCCUCUGUACCCUUUUUAAAAAAUGUCUUCAGGUCUAACAAACUUCUAUUGUUACGAAUGUUUUUCCUUCCACAGUGUGGCCUUGGAGAUAUAUUAUCAUAUCCGGCAAAGAGGGGCAGAUAAAACUUUGGACGUAUUUGAUGAAUGAUCACACCCAUUUACACAAGACCAGCUUCCGGAGGAACACUUUAUGUAUGAUCCUAGACAGAAAGUGAUUUUCAGAUUUGUUCGUACUCUGUUUAAAACCAAAAAGCUAAGAGCUGAGUUAGCAAUCGUUAGUUUGGU